rnacentral:rRNA from 1 species
CCUACGGGUGGCAGCAGUGAGGAAUAUUGGUCAAUGGGCGAGAGCCUGAACCAGCCAAGUCGCGUGAAGGAUGACGGCCCUACGGGUUGUAAACUUCUUUUGUCAGGGAGCAAUUGGGUCCACGCGUGGGCUUAGCGAGAGUACCUGCAGAAAAAGCAUCGGCUAACUCCGUGCCAGCAGCCGCGGUAAUACGGAGGAUGCGAGCGUUAUCCGGCUUUAUUGGGUUUAAAGGGUGCGUAGGCGGAAUAUAAAGUCAGCGGUAAAACUUCGGGGCUAAACCCCGUCGUGCCGUUGAAACUGAUGUUCUGGAGUGGGCGAGAAGUAUGCGGAAGGCGUGGGGUAGCGGUGAAAUGCAUAGAGAUCACGAAGAACUCUGAUUGCGAAGGCAGCAUGCCGGAGCCCAACUGACGCUGAAGCACGAAAGCGUGGGUAUCGAACAGGAUUAGAUACCCCAGUAGUC